UGGUUUAUUGUUGAAUACUGUUGUUGGAAUCAGACGAAUGUUGGUUUCACUGUGAUAUUUUGUGUUGAGUUAUCUGGUGGUGUUUAAUCUCGCUGUUAAUGAUGGCAACACAAAUGAUAUUGAUGAGGAAACAAGAUAUAAAAAAUAAAACUGGUUAACACAUUUACACAGAAGAUAGAGGGAGAGAAAAAAGGAGGAAGAAGACGACUAAGAAGAGAUGAAACAGAGUCAACUUGAAAACAUCAACAAUCUCUCAACUCCCUCACUUUCAUCUGUCUUCUUCUGUCUCAUACUUACUGUCGCCUUCAUUUAAUCCCUCUCUCUUCCCCUUAUCGUCAUCAUCAAUUCGUUCAAUUUUUAUGAAUGAAACACAGGGUAAGAGGAUCCAGUUGGCGACAAACAGUCAACCUUUGAGCAUGAUCCCAAUACAAUUGAAGGGUUAUCCUCAAGUUUUGCAUUCAAGACGAUCCAUUGAAAAAAACAAAGCAACUCAACGAAUCAACUCAAGACUAAAUUCAAAAUCUUUAUUCGUUUCACUGAACAGAAAGAUCCUGAAAUGAUUUAAUUAGAGUGAAGAGCAAUCAUGUUAAGUAACCGAUUAAUAGUAAAAGCUUAUGGCUAUUUUGGUUAUUAAAAAAUGAUACAGAUGGCGACAAAAUCUGCCUCUAAACAGCUGUGUAACCGCUUUCAAUGUAACGGAAAAGUAACCAGUUUUUUGAUAUUUUUUGUUCUGAUUUAUUAUUCAUUAUUUAAUCAAGUGUCAAUUUCAAUUAAUAAGUUUUGUUUGAUGAACAAUUUGUUGUCGAUACUGCCUUUGCUAAAGAUUUGCUAUUUCAACGUUCUAAGACAUUUUUGGCUUUUUCAGUUCAACUUGUUACUCUGUGAACCUGAUUUUUGUUUUAGACUUGUAGUUGAUUUAGUUCUGUUUUUUUUCAGUUCAAUCUUUUUGUUGCAACUUUGGUUCACAACUUUACCCAACCCAUUGAAGUCAACUCUUUUUUUUCUCGUCCUGAACUUUGUUUAAUAUUGUAAAAAAAGAGGCAAAGAGAGAUAGACUCAUUAGCUGUAAGCAUUCAGUUAACAUGCUAACCGUUUCCACCCAAUAAUCUUUAAUGGCGUUUUAUACCUUUUUUAACUCUUGAUGGCGUGAUUCUUAUUCAAUAAUUAUUGGUUAAUCAUCAUUUCCUUGACUUUAUUCUUGAUCAACUGACAGGAUUGACUAAAACAAAGUUAUACUGAAAAGAUGUAACCAGAAUAUUAUCCUGGUUUAUACUGUUUUUAUCCAACAAAUUCAACUCCAGUUGUGUCAAGGUAAAUGACUGGUGUACACUUUUACGUGAGUUUGAAUGGACAGAGGACAUGAAAAGUUGACAUUCAUGGUUAAAGAUUAUUACCAAGAAUUGCUUGCAAAUUGUUUACCAAAAACGUAAUCAACUCAUCAAGAAAUAAAACAAUGUUUGGUUUAACUCCAUUUUUAUCAAAACUCAUCAUCAGCACAAUUAAUCGGUAAAGACCAGUUUGAAUUGUAAUUCGUAAGACUACAUGAUGUGAUUCAAAUUCAACCCGAACAACUAGUGUAACAAUUGGUUGAUCCUUGAUUUACGAUGAAAUAUAAUUUAACGGUUCAUUGGACUGUAAAAUGUUAAAUUAACAAUCAUAUAGAGUUAAGGAAUUAUACAAGAGCACAAUUUAGAUGGAAACAAUUAAAAUCAAGUGGAUAGAGUUAAACUUGAAGUACCUAAAAGUCCAGUGAUGUUAAAGAUGGAGCGAUCAGAUUAAUGUAUAAUGUGGUUAAUUUUGUGAAACAAUCAACUUGAAAUUCUGAAAAUGAUUAAUGGUGAAAUUUGAUCAUCAAAUUUGAUUGGUUGGUAACCUGGUAUUGUCUAACAAUUAACACUCCUAAAAUAAGUUAACAUCUUGGGAUUGUCUUCAUUUGCCUAUCUUCAACUCUGCAUACAACACACACGUCUACACGUUAGGUUAAAAUAAUUGAUGUUAAUUCAUUCAAAUUAACCUUAAAUCAUGAUUAUCUUCACAGCCCAAACAAACGUUGGUUACACAAAUGAAUUCAUUAUCAACAUUACCUGCUGCCAUUACCAAGUAAUUUAAAUUAUACAAAUUUACACAUCGACAUGAUUGACGACGGAUUGUAGACAUUUUGCCAUUUCAAACCCAAAUGUUACUAGUUUUACAAGUCAAUUUGAUUAUCACAAUUCAUCUCAUCAUUUUAAAACUUUCAAUUGAUCAUUUCGCACUCUCAACUUAAUGAUGGUUUAGUCAUUGCCUGAGCGCAACAACAUCGUGACCUUUCAUCUAUUUUGAUGGAAUAACCAAUUCCAAUCUUGUAGGAGUCAAGAGGAUUGCUAAUCAUAAUUACGGACGAGAAAUUGGCCUUAUGUUCAGGUCUCAGUGGGUGGUAAUCAUGGGAACAACUUUGGAUUUCAUUUUAUGAUUACCUUUUUCACUUCAUUUGAAACCAACAUUUCUCUGUUGAUUCCUGAUAUCAGACUUUUGUCCUGAGUUAUCAACAAAUCAUGCCUUUUCUCGCCAAUUAUUGACAUUGCCAUUGUUUUAUACUUAAUAUGGUAUUUUAUUUGACAGAUUUGUGGUUUGUUUUAACUUCAACUCUCAAUUGGCAAAUGAUUUAUGGUUGAUUGUGUUUUUUAUUGGCGAGAAUUGUUGCCUUUGAAAUUGAAUUAUUUUCUGGUUUCUUUAAUUUACGCUCGUCCUGCAUUAUCUGAUUGUGUUAAAUUUGAAUGAAUUUUGUAAACUACAUGUAAUGGACAGAUGGACAAGAAUGCUUAAAGUGGACAUUAAGUUGUCAAAUCAACUAUCAACUUUCCCUGACAAAAUAAUUGGCUUAAAAGCAUAAGAAAGUUUUGACUUUUCAGAAUUAAUCUUCAAAUCCUUAAUCUUUAACGCAAGUAGCUAAUCGACCAAAUUAUUGACGUUGUCAAUGUAACCAAAGAAGACUUAUAAUGUUGUCUGGUUCAAUUGGAGCAAUUAAAGUUAAUACAGAUUAACUUUGUGA